GGUCCGCUGGCGUAAUGGCAGCGCGUCUGACUACGAUUAAUUAAAUGUAAAAUCAGGAGGUUCCAGGUUCGACCCCUGGGCGGAUCG